AACCCCUACCGGUGCUAUACUGCAGUCGACGAACUCUGGUUUGAUUGGUGCUUGCAUCAGGAUUGACAGUGAAGAGGGUGGCGAACUGGUGAGUAACACGUGGGAAACCUGGUAUAAGCGGGGGAUAACACCUGGAAACAGAUGCUAAUACCGCAUAACAACUUGGACCGCAUGGUCCGAGUUUGAUUUCUCCCUUCGGCUAUCACUUUUGGAUGGUCCCGCGGCGUAUUAGCUAGAUGGUGGGGUAACGGCUCACCAUGGCAAUGAUACGUAGCCGACCUGAGAGGGUAAUCGGCCACAUUGGGACUGAUACACGGCCCAAACUCCUACGGGAGGCAGCAGUAGGGAAUCUUCCACAAUGGACGAAAGUCUGAUGGAUCAACACCGCGUGAGUGAAGAAGGGUUUCGGCUCGUUAAACUCUGUAGUUUCUGUUUUUUUUAUCUGAAAGUAACUGUUUCACGUAUUGAUGGU
rnacentral:rRNA from 2 species